rnacentral:tRNA from 1 species
GUUAAAGUGGCUGAGCCUAGAAGCGCCGGUCUGUAAAACCGAUAACGGAAAUUUUCCCUUUAAUA